ensembl:lncRNA
CCCACGUUUCCCUCACGCAAAUGUGACGUCACAUAGUUAAAUCUAUUGUUAAUUACAUUUGGUGUUGUUUCUAAAUGAUGCAAAUUAUCAUUUUUUUUCCAUCACGCAUAUGCAUAUUGUAUUAUAAAAAAUAUAAGCACGCAUUAUAACGUCCGCAAAUAGCCUAAAUAAAUGUAGAGCUAUACAAUUGUAUUUAUAAAUAUAAAUGUAUACAAAAAUAAUGCAAUAAACAUGCUUUACCAAAAUCAAAUGCCACUAAUUACAAAAUCAAGUUAAUAAAGGGCUAAAUCCCUGCAGCCAUACAAGUGUGUAGUGUAUAUAAUCCAAAAUGACUGUAAAAAUGUCUUCUUAGGUUGUGUAGUUAUGCCGCCUACUCAUGUUACUGUUAACGAUACAUAUUUCACGAAAAUGUUCCAAACAUUCUAGAUGCACCUGCUGAGAGUGUACAAAGUACAGAGGGCCACAUGCACUUACCACUGAACACGGCCUUGUCUGUCACAUGGGGUCAGUCAUAAGCAAUUCACGUAAAAUGUUAGGAUCAUACUUCUAUGCAUGCAUGUUUACAUAUACGCAUAUAUUUAUAAAUUAAAGUAACCUUAUAGACUGCUAAGUUACUAUGAGUUAAGUGACCAAAACAAUUCGGUGAUUCGAACUGUGCUAGGAGUCAAUUCAUGUUUAAUAAUACAAAUACAAAUGCACAAGAGUGCGCAGAAAUAAUUGAGAUAAUUUCAAAAUCUUACUUUUAACAAUUGACGUGCGUAUUCCUCUCUGUCAGAAAGUAAGCUACGAGUGGCCGUGUGUCGGGGACGAAUAGAGGUUCCCGUGCGUCUUGCGUUGAAGAACAUGACGCUAAAAUCUCUGGGCAGCGCGGAAGCAUCUAGUCAAAAGCCAAACUCUCCAGUUGCCUACAUCUCUUCAGCGAUGCGGUUUCCAUUCAGAACUCGCAGUCAGUACUCGUAUUCAGCCAUCGAACGUUGCGUCUCAGCCAUCAAGAGAACGGAACAGGCAGUUUAAUUUCCAAGAUGGGGAAUUCCUCCCUUGAAAAGCAUGCUUACAGUGUUCAUGCAUGGACGUGAGAAGAGAUGCAACGUUUACUUUAUGAAACCUGCAUGCGAUUGUCUCAUUCCCUUCCCUCCCGCGCUGUGGAUGAGAUGUUCUCUCUCUCCAGCUUGAGAGAGUCUAGUUUCUGACUAAAUGCAUCCUCUUCUGGCAGUUCUCUCCUGCAGUGACGUCACUCCAGCAGCAGGCAGCCGGGCGACCAAUCACAAUCACACGCGCGUGCUCCCUUUCUCCGCUUCUCUCUCUCUUGCGCGCUCGCUUUCCAUGGUUUGCGGAGUGCGCGCGGGACAGAGUGUCGCCUAUAGGUUGCAGAGUUCCUAUAGUAACCUAAAAUGAAUUAAGUUAUGCCUAUAAUUUCAGCUUUGGCCUAAAAUAUUUGCUUUUUAAAAUGAGUAAGAGGUUUAUUAAAUUCAAAAUAUGAAACUUUGUAAAAUAGGCUACUGAAGAUUCUGGAAACGAUAAAAAAAAUCUGGGGCUGAUUCUGGGGCUAAGGAAAAUACAAGAGCGUAAGUACAAUCAUGUUUUAAAAAUAUAUCUAAUAACCAUAUGCAGUUUGUUACAGGAGAAAAAAUGGCACUGUUAUAGAAGAAAAAGAAGAGCAGAUGUAAAUAUUUCCCGUAUACUUUUUGUUCUUGUCUCUGAUCACUUGCUAGGUUUCCACUGUUGCAUAAAUUCUUUUUAUUCAAACAUGUAACAGAAUACCUCAAAAAAGUUACAUUUCUUAUUGUUGCAUAUGUUACAAUUAUAUAUAUUAUAUUAUUACUAUAUUGCUACAGACAGUUUAUUUUACAGCCUCAAUUCAGACUUUAUGGCUUGUAUUAUAGACUAUAGAGUUUUUAACUUUAAAAGAAACAGCUAUACAGAAAUAAAUAAUUUAAGGCGCGAGCGUGUGCAAAAGAUGCCAUCUGAAACUGGUCAGCUAUAUAAAUAAUAAUUUCUUGAAAUCCACUGCAUCUGUUUACUCUCAUCGGCCAACUGUAGGCUAUAAUCAUUUAUUUCAUUUAAAAAAAAGUUACAUGACAGAUAUUUCAAACAUACACUCCAUUUCUACACCUCAUUUGGUUUUAAAUAAUUUACUUAUUGUCUGUAUAUAAUAUAACAUUCUGAGUGCUUACUGUAUUAUUAUUAUAAGUUGUUGUUUUUCAUUACUCUUGCAAAUGUAAAAGAAAAUGUAAAGGCACUCUUCACUUUAUAAUGUAGCCUAUUAUAAUAGCUUUAUAACAUGGAUAAGCGCACUCGCACAUUUAUGUAGUGUCAAUCUGUAAUUAAUCAGUAGGCUAAAUGAAAAAUGCAUGUGUCAGUCUUCUUGGGCUGGAGGCAGAAUGACCAUUCCGACAGCGGAUGGGGACUAAAUGCUGAUAUUUUCUUGACCCCAACACGCGUAAUGAAGUGUGUUUAAGUGAAGAGUCCGCUCUCUUCAUUCACAAAGGCCACCUGGGUUAAAUGAAUGUCCUGUGACUGUUGACCCAGCUGUGUCGUGCCCUGCAGAUGUUCCAGCACUUACUGUGUUGAUUUGAACCUGUAGGGCACUAAACGGGACUUUAACUAAUAACCAGACAAUGAACCUUCAGUCAUAUCAGAAGAGCGCAUUUCAUUUUUUAAGGUUUUUUGACUAUCAUCUUAAAACUGCAAACAGUAAUAAUGGGAAUAACUAAAAGUCUCUGAUUAUCAUUCAGUUUUACACCACAGUCUCCAUGUUAUUUCAGCCUAAACAAGUAACUGGGCUAAUGAUACAUGUUCUUAAUAUUUAAAAUGUGUAAAAACGCACUGCUUGCUAUCCUUAAUGCUGUAGCUAAUAGCAUACGAUAUGUCGACACUAAUGUUGCACUAAUGUGACUCAAGCGUUGCAAGGCCUUUUAUAAUCCUAUAGCCUAAGUUUAACAGCGCUUAAUGAUGGACAUGCAACGUGUGCCAACUACAGUCUUGACAUUAGCGACCCCUGGCGGUGAGUUUUCUCUUUAUCAAGCGCGCAUUCAGGCGCUUCAUACUAUUAGGUUUCUGUCCAAAUAAAUGCAAAUAGUUAAUGGUUUCAAAGAAUUUAUAAAAUUGUGUAAGUGCUAUGUAGACGGUCCUAUCUUCCAUGUUUUUGAAGUUUAAAGAUAUAGAAUGAAAGUCUCAAUAUGCUGCAGCGUUGAAUUGUGAUUUUCCAUUUAAAAUGCAGAGAUAACGUCACCCUUCUGUAACACUCACAGAACCUGCACAACUUUAUUUUAUAAUCUGUUCGAAGAAAACGAUACAAAACGAUACAUUUUAUUUAAUACAAUCUUAUCAUACAAGUGCGUAUUCUACACCCAUAUAGAUGAUGUAGUUAAGCUGGGUUUAUUUACAAUUUAUUUUUUUAACAGUAAUCUCUAAUCAUCACUCAUUUGCAAUCAUUUACACAAUUUGUUUAUAAAAACCAGCUAUAGCCUAAUUUCUUACAGUCUCUAUCAUAAAUGUACAGAAGAAACGGAUACAACGAGCCAAAGUAGACAAUCUACAGUUUCUCUUUGUUUUUUUUUUAUUUGUUUUUUUGCCAUUAAAGGUCGAUUUUACACAAUUGUAAACUGUGCUUCGUUGUCAUUCAUUUAUGCAAUUUUAUGCGUUAUCAUAUUAGUCUCCUCCUGUGGUUGCAGAUAUAUGCAUGUGCUCAUUUAUGAAAAUUAGGAAAAUCCAACUUUUGC